UCCACUUCAUUCUGAUCGUCCGCAGCUUCUGCCUAACUCAGCGGGGCUUCAACCCACUGCUGGGCUACCAGACCCUUUUCCUGCGGAGGUUCCAGCCCGGCGCACAGCUCUUCACUCCCCGGGAAGCCGGUUUCUCCCCUCCUCCAGUAUAAUCCCACGGGGCACUUGGACCACAGCUCAAAGAGCCAGGAAGCGAUUGUCCGGGACCAGACUGCCCAUACUUGUGCCGUGCCCCGCCCCCCUCCUCCUCGGACAGUGACACACAACGGGAUCCAGUGUCUCCAGGGGCUGGAUCUGGUAAUGGCAGACUGCUUAUUUCUAGCAUUACCAAUGUUGCCUUACAUGGCUCCCGUGAACUACUGUGGCUUAGGUGUCUUCACUUCGCUGAAGUACAGAGUCCAGUUGAUGUUGCAUCCCAGAAUUGUCAUCCAAAUGAUGUUCUCUAGGAAAGGUCAGAUACAUUCCAGAGAUGGAGGAGCCAAGGAAGGAGGAAAAGCAGCCUGAGAACAAAGGGCCUCAGACCACAGAAGGGCAGACACAAGAGUGCCUCAUAACGUAAAUGGUGUGUCCCAGGAGGUUCUUCAAGAGAAUAAAUGAGAAGCAUUACAAAGAGGCUUUACUCUCUUCCCCGCUAAACACACACAAAUCAGAAACAGACCUGUAAAGGAUUUAUCUCCCAUUUUACAGAAAUAAGAUAAACCCAACACAAAGAAGAAUUAUGGCCCCUCCCCCCCUGCACAAUGAGAUGCAGAGUGGAGCAAAUAAGUUAAAUGAGAUAGGAAAGCCCCAAACAGAAAGGAUGGUGAGGAGCUAUUACAUUCACAGUGGAAAAACAAUAUCACAUUUUAUACAUUUGUUCCUACAUUGGCAGAUUACUGUAUUAUGAAGUAUGGCCCAGUGGAGGGUUGGCUUUUUCAGG